UACACAAUUAGUUAAUUUUUAGUUUCUUAUACUUCAAUAAUCUGAAUUAUAUUUUUGACUUUUGAGGGAAAAAGGAUAAGAAUUUAUAAGCCGCGUAACUGCACCGCACAGACAUGCAUCAGCCCACAGCAUCUUUCUGUGACAAUUUUCCCUUUGAUCACUCAUCUCUCUCCCUUUCUCCGGUGGAGAGCUCCCAGGAGAAUUUAGAGUUUGUUUGAGCAAGAAAAGGUUUGAAUUAAAUCGAUGGGGUUUGUUAUUGUGAUAUCGUUGCCUCUAAUCCUAUUGUUCUUGAUUGCUGCGAUUGGAUGUUAUCUGUUCGGAAGAAAUCGUGCUCGCAAAGAAGCAAUAACUCCUCAGUAUUACGGACCUCCUGCACCACCAUAUGGAGUUCAAGUCUCUUCCAAUAAAUAAAUACUUAUAAAGUUUAUAAAUAAAUAUGUAAAGUUUAUAAAUUAUGAUACAGAUUCCAAAUAUUUCUUUCUAUUUUCUUAUACGUGUGAUUAUAAUAUUAUAUGAUGAUAUGGUUCCUUCAA